UACGAAGGGGGCUAGCGUUGCUCGGAAUCACUGGGCGUAAAGCGCACGUAGGCGGCUUCUUAAGUCAGGGGUGAAAUCCUGGAGCUCAACUCCAGAACUGCCUUUGAUACUGAGAAGCUUGAGUCCGGGAGAGGUGAGUGGAACUGCGAGUGUAGAGGUGAAAUUCGUAGAUAUUCGCAAGAACACCGGUGGCGAAGGCGGGUCUCUGGGCCGAUACUGACGCUGAGGCACGAAGGUCAGGGGAGCAAACGGG
rnacentral:rRNA from 1 species